ensembl:lncRNA novel transcript
AAUAAAUAAAAAUAAAAAAUAAACAUGAUGAUCACAGAUGCAGUCACAUUUUCUGAGUUCUUGUCUCUCUGCCAGUGCCACCCAGAUAGCCUCACAAAACUUUGACCCAGCCACUGUUAGUGUCGCCACCGCCCAUAAAGGAGCUGAGCCCAGCAGGGGCACUGCCUGGGGCCCUGUAGCCAAAAGGCUACAGCAGGAGCUGAUGACCCUCAUGAUGCCUGGUGACAAAAGAAUUUCUGCCUACCCUGAAAGCCUUAUCAAAUGGACACCAUCCAUGAAGCAGCUGGCACAGUGUAUGAAGAUCUGAGGUAUAAGCUCUUGCUGGAGUUCCUCAAUGACUACCCACCUUUACGAUGCACCCACAGUGAAGUUCCUCACACCCUGCUACCACCCUAACGUGGACACCCAGGGUAACAUAUGCCUGGACAUCCUGAAGGAGAAGUGGUCUGCCCCGUAUGAUAUCAGGACCAUCCUGCUCUCUAUCCAGUGCCUGCUAGGACAACUCAACAUUGAUAGCCCUUUGAACACACAUGCUACCAAGCUCUGGGAAAACCCCAUAGCUUUAAGAAGUACCUGCAAGGGUCAGGCGCAGUGGCUCACACCUGUAAUCCCAGCACUUUGGGAGGCCGAGGUGGGUGGAUGGAUCACCUGACGUAGAGAGUCCAAGGCCUGACAAACAUGGAGAAAUGUCAUCCCUAUUUAAAAAAAUAAAAAAAUUAGCCAAGUGUGGUGGCGCAUGCCUGUAAUCCCAGCUACUCGGGAGGCUGAGGCAGGAGAAUCACUUGAACCUGGGAGGUGGAGGUUGCAGUGAGCCGAGAUCUCGCUAUUGCACUCCAGCCUGGGCAACAAGAGUGAAACUCUGCCUCAAAAAAAAAUAAAAUAAAAUAAAAA